GAUGAACGCUGGCGGCGUGCCUAAUACAUGCAAGUCGAGCGAACGAACGAGAAGCUUGCUACCAGUGGGUAAGCGGCGGACGGCAGAUGAACAAGUGGAUAACCUCCCUAUAAGAAUUGGAUAAAUUCGGGACACAGGAGGUAUGAUCGGCUAAUAUCUUAAACCGCAUGGUUAAAAAGUUAAAGACGUGCUUGCGGGCACUUAGACAUGGAUCCUGGCGGCAUUAGCUAGUUGGUAAGGUAACGCCUUACCAAGGCAACGAAGCAUAGCCGACCUGCGAGGGUGAUCGGCCACACUGGAACUGAGACACGGUCCAGACGCCUACGGGAGGCAGCAGUAGGGAAUCUGGCGCAAUGGGCGAAAGCCUGACGGAGCAACGCCGCGGGAGGGAUGAAGGUCUUCGGAUCGUAAAACUCUGUUAUUAGGGAAGAACAUAUGUGUAAGUAACUGUGCACAUCUUGACGGUACCUAAUCAGAAAGGCACGGCUAACUUCGUG
rnacentral:rRNA from 1 species